GAUGAAGGGCGUGCUAAUCUGCGAUAAGCGCCGGUAAGGUGAUAUGAACCGUUAUAACCGGCGAUACCCGAAUGGGGAAACCCAGUGUGACUCGUCACACUAUCAUUAACUGAAUCCAUAGGUUAAUGAGGCGAACCGGGGGAACUGAAACAUCUAAGUACCCCGAGGAAAAGAAAUCAACCGAGAUUCCCCCAGUAGCGGCGAGCGAACGGGGAGGAGCCCAGAGCCUGAAUCAGCAUGUGUGUUAGUGGAAGCGUCUGGAAAGGCGCGCGAUACAGGGUGACAGCCCCGUACACAAAAGCGCAUGUGCUGUGAGCUCGAUGAGUAGGGCGGGACACGUGGUAUCCUGUCUGAAUAUGGGGGGACCAUCCUCCAAGGCUAAAUACUCCUGACUGACCGAUAGUGAACCAGUACCGUGAGGGAAAGGCGAAAAGAACCCCGGCGAGGGGAGUGAAAAAGAACCUGAAACCGU
rnacentral:rRNA from 5 species